AAGUUAUACAUACAAAGUUCUAAAACUUGAAUACUAUGUAUAAACAAGAGAUAUACAAAACACUGACACUAAAUCAGGAAUGAACAUUGUAAACAUAUAGCUACAACAAAACAGGACAUUGAGAGAAUUACCAAAGUAAACUCAAACAUGAAGAAUAAAAAAAAUGAAAAUACCACUUUUUAAAUAAUUCCGAAGCGUGUUUCUGAAUGUUCUUUAUAUGGAACACACAAACCUUAAAAUUGGAAAGCCAUGGCUGAAUAAUUUCUUGAAUGCUUUGCUAGCUAUAUGACCAAAAAGGACAACACACGAAUCAUUAAAUCC
rnacentral:lncRNA from 1 species